GAAACAGAUUUGGGAAAGGGAAGAACAAUGAGCACCAAACCAAACCCUUGCUCCAUUUUGAAUUCGCCAUAACCUUCAAUCCGGAGCUCCGAUCGCAGUAUUGUUUGCGGCCACGCGACGAGCUCUACAAAAUCCAGUAACUAAUUUGGUUCGAAUUAACUUGCGGGUAUCGUCGGGUUUAGCUCGCUUGAGCUGUGGGUCAGUUUGAGAAAUUGGAAGCUAGAGGGCUAACCUUGGAGGCCGGGUUUUUCUUGGUGAGGAGCUGGAAUUUCAAAGCUUGAGGUGUGAUAUAUAAGAGAGGUGCUCCAGGCUUAUCGGGGAAUCAGACAAGAUGCAGGAUGUGAGGCACCUCACUAGACAUACUGGGAGCUUCUGAAAGCGAAGAUCUUUUGUGCUUUUGGGACUUUAUUUUUGGUUAUGUCAUAUAUAUGUAGAUACUUAUUAUCUCCAUUAUAUAUGUAUAUUAAGUUUUAUCCUUCUUAAAGGUUGAUUUGGAGAAAAUAAGUUCUAUAAACUGUAUUUUGGACAUGUCUUUUGGGAUUCUCUUAUAUAUGUGUAUAUAUGUAUAUAUAUGUUUUGACCGGUUUUAACUUCGCGAGGCGAGUCAGGAGAUCUGUUAUCUGUAUC